CACAGGUACUUCUGCUGGGGUACAUCAUCGCAAAUACUUUGAGGAAAUCCAGAAGGAUACUCAUUUUCACCUGGUGCAGAUGGAUCAUUGUCGAGAAAACUACCGUGGAUUUCCCCCCUGUGGUAACCUGGAAACGUGUUAAAACCCCAUGUGUGGUGCCGAGCAAUCUUGUACUUUACGAGGACCUGAGCCCUAGGACCAUGCCCCAGGACUACCUGACAUGAUGACUCCUUGCUGUCCCCAGUCCACCUGGCUGUGCUGCUGCUCCAGUUUCAACUGUUCUGCCUGUGAUUAUUAUUAUUUGACCAUGCUGGUCAUUUAUGAACAUUUGAACAUCUUGGCCAUGUUCUGUUAUAAUCUCCACCUGGCACAGCCAGGAGAGGACUGGCCACCCCACAUAGCCUGGUUCCUCUCUAGGUUUCUUCCUAGGUUUUGGCCUUUCUAGGGCGUUUUUCCUAGCCACUGUGCUUCUACACCUGCAUUGCUUGCUGUUUGGGAUUUUAGGCUGUGUUUCUGUACAGCACUUUGAGAUAUCAGCUGAUGUACGAAGGGCUAUAUAAUAAAUUUGAUUUGAUUUGAUCAGUAGGACCAAUAUGAAGAUCAAUAGGAAGAUCAGUAGGACCAAUAUGAAGAUCAGUAGGACCAAUAUGAAGAUCAGUAGGAUCAGUAUGUAGAUCAGUAGGACCAAUAUGAAAAUCAGUAGGACCAAUAUGAAGAUCAAUAUGAAGAUCAGUAGGAUCAAUGUGAAUAUCAGUAGGACCAAUAUGAAAAUCAGUAGGACAAAUAUGAAGAUCAAUAUGAAGAUCAGUAGGAUCAAUAUGAAAAACAGUGGGAUCAAUAGGAAGAUCAGUAGGACCAAUAGGAAGAUCAGUAGGACCAAUAUGAAAAUCAUUAGGAAGAUCAGUAGGACCAAAAUGAAGAUCAGUAGGACCAAUAGGAAUAUCAGUUGGACCAAUAUGAAGAUCAGUAGAACCAAUAGAAAGAUCAGUAGGACCAAUAGGAAGAUCAAUAGGACCAAUAUGAAGAUCAGUAGGACCAAUAUGAAGAUCAAUAGGACCAAUAUGAAGAUUAGUAGGAUCAAUAGAAAGAUCAGUAGGUCCAAUAUGAAGAUGAGUAGGACCAAUAGGAAGAUCAGUAGGUCCAAUUGGAAGAUCAAUAGGACCAAUAGAAAGAUCAGUAGAACCAAUAGAAAUGACAAGUUUUAAAGAAGUUAAAACAAACUGAAAUUUAUAGGGUUUAUAGGGGAUUUAUAAAGUCUACUAAACCGACAGGUAUGAGCCAUAAUAAAUGGCUACAGUACAGUAGGGUAUUGCAUUACCUGCAGUGCCUGAGUAGUCAGCAAUAGUCAGCGGGUAGCCAUCUUCAUCCGGGUCAACAGAGAACAGUCCCACUCCAAAGG